rnacentral:rRNA from 1 species
GCCAGCAGCUAUAUCACCCUCCAGCUCUCAACUGGCUACCCACUGAAGCUAAGCAUGGUUGAGCCUUCUCAGUACCUGGAUGAGAGACUUCCUGGGAAGCUAUGGUUGGUGCUGGAA